rnacentral:lncRNA from 1 species
AGAUCAAUGCUCACCGAACACACAUAUACUGAAUAUUAAGAGUAUUACAUCCAACGUACCGUUUGAUACAACAAAUGAGCAUCAUCGUCAAGUCUCAUAUAGAAAGGGCCUAUAAGGCCAAUUACACCGAUACAUCUACUAGCGGAAAUAUUGGUAAUAAACGGGAGCCCAUGCCAUCAGCCUUCACCAACAUGCAUUCUGACUGGGAAGCAUCCUAGUUCACGUGUCCGUCUCCGAUGACGAAUUCUUCUCCAAACUCCGGUUCCUCCAUGUCUGGUCAAUAAAAUAACCAGUGGCAAGCCAGUGAGUACUUUGAAUGUACUCGCAAACAGCCCAUGAUAUGGAUAAUGUAGUUGGUGUGGUAAUAAAGUAAUAUGCAGACUUUGCGGAAAGCAAAUUUUUCGUAAGGAUGUACAUUGUCAAUUACUUGUAUGGAUAUGCAUCAUAAGCUAGAUGGUAUUCAUAAGUUGUACCCACAUGAUCCGAAAAACAUCCUUAUCACCCACGACUCGUGGUAUAUAUCAUACCCGAGGGAAGUACCCGAUCAUUGCCUUUCCCCUAACGAUUCUAGACAAAGAGUUCACUCGAUUGGUACCCAACCCACAUGAUGUACGUCUUACGAGCACCAACUCUAGACCGUAUCAUCCAUGCGGGGACCAAGGGUGUGCCGUGAACACAUAAAAACGGCAUAGUCGAACUACCUGGUACGACCCCGUCAUGAGAGUGACCACAUAUCACUCCCACCACUAGUAAUGUUGCUCAUUGCUAGCACCGACCAAAGUAAUCAAUAAAGCCCCGUCCCAUAAAGGGGUAUCGUGGUCGUACAUGUAAGGUUGGGACGGUCGACACAUCAUAAAUCUAAUCCCAUUUACGAAACCACUCACACAAAAUAUUUCUUGAUGCACCACUUCUUCACAAGUGGCCACCUAACUCAUCAUCACCCUCAGGCAUUAGUGGCACCCGACGUGGUUUUCGUAAAACCUUUGUUAUCAACUUUGUGUUACCAUCAUCAUGCACAUGCUCUUUCUAUGCAUAGCACUACUAUCUACUUGUCAAUAUGUUAUCAGUGUGACCCUCAUAAAUGAUAGGGUCAUGCUUAAUGCAAGUGGUCCAGAGGAGCUAUCGGAAACACCAUGCCGGGGUGCACCGAUCGUCCUUAACUAUAUGCAUCGGAGUACAAUUACCAAUGUGUCAUGCAUAGAAGUAUUUCUUAGACAUGGUCAAAGAGCCUCUUGCCUUGAUCAACUAUGUUCCGGGGUCUUCGGGGUCUUCGGGUUCAAGUACUUCGUCGAACGCGAAAUCUAUCGUCGCAAUAAUACUAAUAAAAUAAGAACCUCAUUCAAAAACACAGCACAAACUCACUUUAAAAAUGUUAUCCUAUUAUGAUCAAUCUUUAUUAUAGUUUGAAAAACAUUUGUUUCUUGUUUUGAUGCAAAAAGGUAUUUUUAAAACCUAAUUAACAGGGCCUAAAAUAUUUAAACUAGGCAUUUUAAUCAAAGUUAUGUAUAAAAGUUUUGACAAAAAUUGGUAAAAUAGAACUACUAAAUUUUACAUAUUUUUAGAAGAAUUGUGGUGGAAAAAUAUUUAGAUUUGACUAAAUAUUUAAUUUUACAAAAAUCAUUUAGAAUCAACAUAAAAAGAAACGGGGAAACGGGCUUAACCCUGGCCUGGCUCGGCAAGUGGCUGGGCCGGCCCAACUGGCCAACCGACAAACUAGCGAGCCAGCAGCCCAGGUGCGCGUGCACCCUCAUGUUUAAACCUGACGCAUGGGCCCCUGCAGUCAGUGGGAGAGAGAGGAGAGAGGGGGAGAGGCUGGCCACCACAGGUGGGGCAUGCCUGUCGGGGUCGUCUUCCUACUCUAGACAGAAGGGAGUGGGGGCACGCCGGCGGCGAUUCCGACGACCUCGUGGCCACAUGACGGCAGGAACGGCACCGAGGCAUCGCCGCCUACAUGCUGGUGGUCGAAUGAACAACGGGGAAGCCCUAUGUCACCGGCGAUGAGGUGGCCGCGCGAAGGUGCUUCGGGUGGUGGUGGAGUUUGGUGCUACGGACAGGGAAAUGCUCGGGGCAGAGGUGGGGAGGCUUGUUGAGCUCUCUACGCUCACGAAGGAGGUGAGAUGAGCACGAGAGCUGGCCUUUAGCCCGAGAUCAACGGAGCUCCGAAGCGGCGGGGCCUCGGUCGAUCUCGAGCACCAGAGCUCUCUCUGCUCGAAUGGGGUGGCUAGGACCUCCAUUGAGCAUCUCGAGGAGUGGCGUGGGGUGCUGGAGUGAAGGGGGAAGGCCUAUUUAUAGGCCAGCAACAGUACACCACGCGUGGGAGCAUCGGUGCUUUCACCGUGGCUGCAGGAGAGGGAGAGAGGGCUCGGGGUCGAUACCACGGUUUCGCGGACGUGGUUUGAGACCCCACAGACCAAACGAGAGAGAGGAGGCUCAGUGCACGCGUGCUGCGGGGCCGCACUCUUUUGGCGGAACCUGGCGCACGAGGGCACGUGUCACCCUGGUCAGCACAGAUGGGGAGAAGGGGCCCUAGGGCUGCCCUGAGUCAAGAGGUUUGUCGGAGACGCGAAGAGACCCCGAGGGGAGGUGAGAACCGGUCGGGGCUGGCCUCCUUUGCCUCGGGUGUGCCUUGUAGCGUGCCCAGAGCACAGAUUUGGCAUGCCACGGCAUGCUGGCGUGCUCUGGGGUGCUUUGGCCCUGUCUGACGUGUCCGGGGGUUGGCUUAGAUGCCCUUUAGCCGUUUGGGAGCCGAGGGUCUCACUGCUGGUCAAAGGAAGUGCUUGAAGAGGAGCUGUCAGGCUUGAUUCAGAAACUAAAUUGGGGAUUUUGACUCACCUGCUCGGAACCAUAGAGGGGCCACUCGUCUGCAGUUGAGGAGUGGUGCUGGCAGCUUGCACUAAGAGUUUAGUGGAAAGGGAGUGGGUGUAGAGGGUGUUAAGUGUUGUUUGACCAUCCAGGCAGAAGGUGAUUGAUAUGUGUUUGGGGUAGUUAACCUCCACCACUCAUGUUGAAAGUUAACAUGAUUGGGUUUAAUACAAAGUAGGAUGCUCCACCAAAUUUGAGCGCCAUUGGACAAGGUUGACAAUGCAAACUUGAAAUCCCCCAAAUGGGCAGUUCUGUCCUUUAAAAGAGAAUGUGGCUAAAUUAAUACCACAAAUCUAUUUUUUGGCAGGGUCUCUUCAUUUGGGGUGUUGAUCACUCGUGCAAAGCUUUAGGCCAUUUGGACAAACUUUUCUAUGUAGAGUUGCUUCAACUUAAUUCUGGAAACGGAAGGUCAUAGGAAUAUUUGGUGAACCAAAGAACCUUGGAAUAAGGUGAAACUUGGCAUGACCACCAAAUAUAACUUGGGAAGCAUGCUAGAAUUUUCUAGGAAUUUAUUGAAACUGUUUCCUUUGGAAAUAUUUCAAAAGGUCAAAACAGACAGAAUAGGUUUUCAAGGAUUUGCUCAAAUAUUUUGAACAUAAAUAGGGGUUGAAAAUCUUAUUAUGGAAAAUAUAUGUCCUGUGCAUAUCUUCAAUUUUCUCAGCAUACACACAAACAAUGGCAAUCAUGGCACACAAACAAUGGCAAUCAUGGCACUCAUAGCACUUGCUUAAAAAGUUAUAAUAAAUUCAGGUUUUUGAAAAGACUACAAUUGAAGUAAGGUAAAAACGUGUGUGACAAUACUGAAGAGAUGAGUAUAUGGAAAUCGCUUCCACUCUCCACAAGCUACAUCAAGUUCACAUAAAUACAACAAUAUACAAUCAUCAUGAAAAAGAGCAGGGUUCGACUAUGGACGAAAAUAAAUGAUAAAAGAACGACGUCCAUCCUUGCUAUCCUAGGUUGCCGGCGUGGAACCCAUCCUAGAUCGAUGAUGAUGAAGAAGAAGAAACUCCAAAAGCACAAUCAUCGCGCUCACAACAUAAUAUCACAUUACUUGUACUUGCAAUUGGUGUUGUAGUAAUUUGGGAGCCACAGGAACUCAGCAAUUUCAUUUCCAAAGGUAUCGAGACUAACAAAGCUUAAUUGGUGAGGCUGCAGCUAGCGACCAAGCAUUUAUUUGAGGUGGCUAACUUACGAGUACAAAAAUAAGAGGGGGUGAUCUACGCAUAUCGGAAGUGAACUAAUAAUGAUCAAGUGAAUGAUCGUGAACCCUACUUACGUCAGACAUAACCUCACCAUGUACUCGAUCGGAGAAGGAGCUCAAGAAAGAGACAGUCACAGUUACACACUUAGUUGGCAAGUUUUUAAUUAAGUUUACUUCAAGCUAUCUAGAACUGGAUGUUAAACAAAGUUUCCAAGUUUGCCACAUAACCGCGGGCAUGACUUUCCGAAAGAUUUAACCCUGCAAGGGUCCUCCAACUAGUCCAUCACAAACUACCACACGUUACGUCGGAAUGACCUCAAUCAGGGAAAACCUGUGAACUCCUCGGGUUCCUAUUGAAAAACCUCAACCUCAAGAAGUAUCCUCGGAAUCCCAUGCACGAGACGCUCGAGAAAGGUAAAACAGGUCCAGCAAGGCCGACCGCCGUGUCGACGAUCCCGAUAAGAGCUGUGUAUCUCGUUUUCACGACACGACGGAUAAGCACAAUGUACGGUGGCCUGAUAGAAAUCUCCCGAGUUGCCCCGGGUUGACCCUGCAAACGACUCUAGUUUGAACUAACACCAGCAGUACUGGCCCCCGUGUAUUAUGUUGAAUUAUUUCUCGGGUUCAUGACGCCCUAUGCUUUUCAACGGUGUUCAAUUUUAUCAUGUUGGGAAAAUAUAGUAUUAAUGUUGGGCCGUGUCAGGCGAGUUUUAUCCCAAAUUGAAAAUCUAGGGGUCCCCAUAACAACCCCAAGCAUGUUAGGAGCGCUCAUUUAUGGAACAUGACACCGGUAGACGAAACUAAGGGGGCAAAGGUGGAACAAAACACCAAGCUAGAAGGCCAAGGCUUCCACCUUUUACCAAUUAUAUAGGUGCAUUAAAUUAAAUAGCAAUUAUAUGGUGAUAUAACAAGGAACCAUGUCGGCACAUGGAUGCAACUGCACCUUCAACUAGCAACGCUAACAAAAGGUUGAGCAAGCGGUAACAUAGCCAAACAGUGGUUUGCUGGGACGUGGAAAAGGUUUUCAUGGCAAUGUUGGGAGGCAUAUUAAACAGGUGGUAGGCAGCGAGACAUAGCGAAAACGAGACAACUAGCAUGGCAAUGGUAGUAAUGGUAUCUAGAAAAAUGGUCAUCUUGCCUGUGACCUCUUGUAAGAAGAUUGAAUCCAUGAAGCAGACGAACCAACAUAGUCGAACGAAUCCUCACACUCCAAAGCGGUUCGGAACUCUAUCAAGAAGAAACAAACCGGAAACAAGAAUCAACACACGAUAUUCACCACGGCAAAUGCACGCUAUGAUGCACAACCUAAUAUGAUGCAUGUCCAAUUCAACUAUGCAAGGCAUGGCAUGGCAAUUCACAACAAUCAAACACUACACAUUAAGUGAAACUCCGCAUUCGAAUUAUUUAGUUCGCUCCCGUUUAGGUACACGACAAUUUUUUAAAUGUUGUUAGCAUGGCAAGAGAUGAAGGAUGUGAUUCUACAUGUAAUUCUAGUCGGUUUACACAUAGCUCACGUAAAACAGAGCUACCAUUAACUAUCUAUAGGCAGCUAUAGGCAUUGUAAAACAGUGACAAAAUCUGCUAUAAUGCAUGUCUUGAAAUAAAUAAAAGAUCAAAAGAGGGGAAAACAUAUAUGCAUGGGCCCAAUUGCAACUAAGUGAAGCCACCCAGAAUUGAAUCAGGCCCAAGUGGCUCAGUGUACGUCCGUGGAAACAAUAAAAGAGAGGCUUACGUGAUUUGAUCCCUGGACCUGGUGGAUGCCGAACUGCUGUCCUAGCCAACAGAGCUAGUAUCUGAUUAUGAUAUGAGAUGGAACUAUCCUAUUUGAAGUAGCGCUACAGAGCAACAAAAUAAUUCGAAUGCGGAGCAGGGUGCAGAUCAACAAAAACAGAGCAAAACAUAUUACUGGCUGACCUGGGAUUCGAACCCCAGAUCUCGGGGAUGAAACUGAGUGGUGCUAGGCAUCUCUGCUGCACUUGCUUGAGUGAAUUUCACACAGGUUAUUACUUAUAGAACUGAAGAAACGGCGGUUGGAGCUCACCAUUGGCCUAUCUCGGUGAGGAUGUUCGNNNNNCGAACUACGCAGGUUUGCCUACGGGGAAUAGGAGGAUACAGUUGAUCCAGGCACGGGCAACCCAUUCCCAGUGACGAGAGGUCUUGGGGAAGCGCGGAUGGGCGACCUCCAUGGACGGCGGAGGCGGGUUCCGAUGUGUUCCUGUCAGGGAAGAAACAAGCAAGAGGGAGAGGAAUUAGAGGAGAGAGGAUAGGGAAGGUGGGGCAUAGGAAGGAUCCUAGCGCAGAGGAGCGACCUGUUCGCUCCAGCGACUCAUCGGCGUCGGGGUUAAGGCGAGGUGCUCCGGCGGCGGUAGCUUCGCCAGGGAGGCUUGUCAACGAGGCGGUCUGGUCCAAUGGAACGGCCGGCACGACAGGUGGGGCAGGGACGAGCGAGCACCAUGGCUUCCAGCUCCCUUGACGCGAGCGAGGCGUGAGCCUUGCAUCCCACCGAGCAAAGAAGCAGGGUGUCGCGGGAGCAGGUGGUUGCACGGGGCUAGAGACGGCUCUCCGGACGAGGUACUCGGUGCCAUGCGCCGCGACUGUGUGAUCGGCCGCGGAUAUGGUUGGCUGGAUGUGUCCG